GCACUGGUAGUUCAGUGGUAGAAUUCUUGUGUCUGCCCCAUAGGAGACCUGGGUUCAAAUUCUGGUCAAUGCA
rnacentral:tRNA from 1 species